UACGGAGGAUCCAAGCGUUAUCCGGAUUUAUUGGGUUUAAAGGGUGCGUAGGCGGGCCUUUAAGUCAGCGGUGAAAGUUCCCGGCUCAACCGGGGAAUUGCCGUUGAAACUAUUGGCCUUGAGUGUAGAUGAGGUGGGCGGAAUUCGUGGUGUAGCGGUGAAAUGCUUAGAUAUCACGAAGAACUCCGAUUGCGUAGGCAGCUCACUAGGCUACGACUGACGCUGAGGCACGAAGGUGCGGGGAUCAAACAGG
rnacentral:rRNA from 1 species